rnacentral:rRNA from 1 species
UACGUAGGGGGCAAGCGUUGUCCGGAUUUAUUGGGCGUAAAGAGCUCGUAGGCGGUUUGUCGCGUCUGCUGUGAAAUCUGGGGGCUCAACCCCCAGCUUGCAGUGGGUACGGGCAGACUAGAGUGCGGUAGGGGAGACUGGAAUUCCUGGUGUAGCGGUGAAAUGCGCAGAUAUCAGGAGGGAACACCGGGUGGGCGAAGGCGGGUCUCUGGGCCGU